AGUCCAUGGUGAGGACACCUUUGCAAUAGGUCCUUGUAUCCCUCCCAUGCAUUGUAAAGAGUUUCUAAGUCCAUCUGCACAAACGAAGAGAUAUCAUUAUGUAAUU
rnacentral:snoRNA from 1 species